UCCGACUCCCCACGUUCUCUCUCUCUCUGUCCCGUCCUCCCUCUUUCUUUCUGUCUCUCCCAUCUUUCUCUCCCCUCCCCCCCUUUCUCAGUGUGUUUUUUUUCUUCUCCUCACCACCAUCCCGCGUCACCUUGCACUACCACGCGCCCACCGCCAUCACCACUGCAUCUGUGACUGUCCGUACCGUUACCAUUAGUAACUACCAUCACCAGCGUUACUACGGUCAGAAUGUAACAUGACUACCAUCAUCAUCAUCAUCAUCAUCACCACCACCACUACCAGCAUAACUGUCACCAAGAAUAACAUGACCACCAUCACCACACGUAUCAUCAUCUUCAUCAUCAUCAUCAUCAACAACAGCUCUAUAACUUCUAUAUCACUACCACAACCACAACUAUCAUCAUCAACAUCAUGAUCACCGCCACAACAUCGCAUCGCAACACAACAAGCUCACUCAGUAACGACCACAAACAUUACUAUAGUAUCCUUCCUGUCAUCAUCAUCAUCAUCGUCAACAACCAUUACAAUCAAAUCUUUAUGGGGCCACUCGAAGUGCUAGGAAUAGCAGCCAAAUAUUCCUGAAAUCACACCACAGCAAAAGAUGCACAGGAUAAGGAAAAUAAAAUGUGAUAAUCACGACUGGAAUGGUUCUUGACCAUAUGUCAGGUUGAAAAUGGUGGUAAUGGUUAACACUACCAUCAUAACAGCCAUGAGUCGAAAGGAGCCUCUACGUGGUAAUUUGAUCUGCUAGAAAUAGCACUCAAAGUUCUCCCAAACAUUCUAUCCGCUUAAAAAAUAUAAACGGAUAUUGGAUAACGUUGUCAGGUGUGCGAUAAGGUUAGAAAGAAAAAAACAGGAUGGUCAUGGUCGGAAUGCCUUAGAUCGAAAAUGUAACCGAUUGGGGCUGAUCUGGGGUUAAACAACAACAAAAAUCCGUGAUCAUCAGCAAACGCUCCCCCACCACCACAAACACCCACCUCAGCAUCUAUCGGUAACAUCACUUCCGCCUUCAUCACCCAUAUCACCACCUUCAUCGUUGCCAUCACAACAACCGUCAUCGCAACCACCAUUACAACCACUACUGCUAAUACUACUACCAGUAGGUGGUCAAUGUAUAAGAGAGAGAGAGAGAGUAUUUGUGUUUGUGUGUUUGUUAAUUCAGCUCAGUAGCAACUACAACAGCUGGUUCUGUAUGCUAUUAUCACUAUAACAGCCAGCAUCAGUGAACUCCUCCACACCAAGGUGUGUGUGUGCAUGUGUGUGUGCGCGUGCACCAGUGACAACUUCUCACAGUUAAGGGGUUUCAUCAAGAUAUGGAUAUGUGAUUGCCAAGAAAGCAGCAUUCUUAUAAAUGGUCUUUCAACAAUGUCAUUGGAAUGAUGCAAAAUAUUUAAUCUUAUACAACAUAUAUAGUAACUGGUCAGCCUGUCACAUGAUUUAGCUAAUAACAUUAACAUACAAUAAAUAUUGGUACUCUCUGUAUGCUGCAACAUAGGCAGAGCCUCAGGCUGUUGAGAAUGUUAUAUUUGGUAAAGCAAUUCCUUGGUCUUUGAGUCAACAAAAAGUGACAGAGCACUGAUUGUCACUGGCCAUAAACAAGUACAUGUGUUGGGUAAGCUUUCUCUCUUCCAAUCUUUAUCAUUAAGUUCCUUGUAACAGUAGUUUCAAACAUUUUCAGGCUGCCACCCACUUGGCACCCAGGCCACUUUCUGCAGCAAAUUCAAAACAACUGUAUUUCACAAAUAAAACAUAAACCUAAUUAA